GAUGAACGCUAGCGGGAGGCCUAACACAUGCGAGCCGAGCGGUAUUGUUUCUCCGGAAAUGAGAGAGCGGCGUACGGGUGCGUAACACGUGUGCAACCUGCCUUUAUCUGGGGGAUAGCCUUUCGAAAGGAAGAUUAAUACUCCAUAACAUAUUGAACGGCAUCGUUUAAUAUUGAAAGCUCCGGCGGAUAGAGAUGGGCACGCGCAAGAUUAGCUAGUUGGUGAGGUAACGGCUCACCAAGGCGAUGAUCUUUAGGGGGCCUGAGAGGGUGAUCCCCCACACUGGUACUGAGACACGGACCAGACUCCUACGGGAUGCAGCAGUGAGGAAUAUUGGUCAAUGGGUGCAAGCCUGAACCAGCCAUCCCGCGUGAAGGACGACUGCCCUAUGGGUUGUAAACUUCUUUUGUAUAGGGAUAAACCUACCCUCGUGAGGGUAGCUGAAGGUACUAUACGAAUAAGCACCGGCUAACUCCGUGCCAGCAGCCGCAGUAACAC
rnacentral:rRNA from 1 species